AUGUAACCACAGCGCUUUCAGAGGCCAGAUCUAUUGGCUCUGGGCAUUAUUCUUUGGGGACAUCGAUCCCUUUUAUCUGAAAAGAUAAAAACAGUGUCUGGAAUUGAUGAGUUAUGAGUUGAUCUCCUUCACGUAGUCAUUCUACAUAGUUUUAUUGUAAUCCUAUUGUAUGAAAAAUGUUAGAUUGUGAGAGCGAUAUAAAAGUAGUAAAUGCAAGUAACUCUUGCCUUCAUGAACCUCAUCAUCUGAUAAGGACUUGUUUGGCAUACAUGUUACCAGAAUGGCAACUGCAUUUCUUUAUAAUUGCCUUUCACUUUUUCUGGGAGAGUUGAGUAUUUUCUAUGAGUAAUACACAGGUUAAAAACUGAGCACCUUUGCUUUUCUGA
rnacentral:lncRNA from 1 species